GACUGCCCAGAGACGUUUGACAGGUCGUUUUGAAAAGUGUUCGACUCUCCAUCUUCAACGCCCAAUUUGUCAUGACUGAGGCCACAAAUGGAAGCGUCCUCGUCGCUCUGUGUACUGCUAUCCUCCCCGACAGUUGUCUUGCUUAGCUCUCCGUGGAUGUCUUUAGUCUGGGUCGGGCGUUUAUGUUCCAUCCGUCGGUGCUGGAACCUGGCGUUCCAUAAGGUCGAGCAGCACGGCUAUUUCCACACGGCGUGGUCGGCAAAGGUUUUCCUAAAACUCACCUUUUGGAGAGAAGCAAAUGACUUUCGCUGUCGGAAUCAUGAAGCCGGUCGGUGUGAGAGGACAGUUUCUCGUGUUAUUCUUCUUUUCGUGCAUCCACGGGUAGCCUAUUUCUGGGUCAGAGAUUUGGCGUGUAGUGGGCUUCCCCAAUCUGCGCUGUGCCGGGGCCCUGCAUGGCGUGGCUGAGUGCCGAGACUCAAGCUUGGGAUGGUGUGCUCGAAAAGGAGGCACUGCUGGAGGCCUGUAGGAGACUGUCACGACAAUGGAUGGGAUUUCUCGCACUUUUCACAAACUGCAAGACUGCAGGAAAUGACGGUGUACCACUCUUACUCAGUACAUCCAUCAGUAUUAGGUUGUCUCUCCCUAUUUCCAAAUGUCUUUCAGUCGUUUUGAUAAUAUGCAAGUUUAUUUUCAUUUUGCUGAAUUUGAACCAAAGAGCGACGUGUACUGAGCAAAUUAUGCGCUUAUCAUAUUGCUAAUUUUCUGAUGCUUUUUGUUGUGUAACACCUCUACUAUGAAGGCAAAUACUUAAGUCAAUUAGUGUCUUUUAUUUCCUCAGAAGUGGAGCAGCAUGGAAUGUAUGACAUCAAAAAAAAAAAAAAAAAAAAAAUUCAAACUAAUAAACAGCUUCUGAUCGUUGUCUCUUUCGAAUGU
ensembl:lncRNA